UAGCAAGAAAUACAAGACGAUCAUGUUCGUCGGGACCCUGGAAGACCCUGGGCAACUGGUACUGGUAGAGCGCCCCCAACAGGCUAUCUUCGAGCAGUUACCACCCACCCUCCAACAGAAAAAGUUUGGAACCUAGAUAAAGACUUGUCAACGACCCAUGCUGGCAUCGGUGACUCUGUUCAUUGCGGUGUCGAUGCAUAAAGGAUGUUCAAAAGGAAAUGAGAAAAACAGUGUGCUUGGUCGAUAUAAUGGAUUGACUCUAGAUGUUUUGGGGUACUUUGAAGAAAGGGUCGCUGGGGCUUCUUUUAGAAAAAGUUGCAAUGUGACUAACAUGCAACCAAUCUAUUUUAGGAGUUACAAGAUGAUUUUUUUUUUGUUAAUGCCAAGGUCCCCUUAUAUUUAUGCUUGAAAGGAGUGCCAUCAUUACAUAACUGGUCGCCUCCCCCCCCCCCCCCCCCCCCCCACUCCCUAAAACUAGCCUUCAUUUAUACACUCCUCUGACAUUCCUUCUUUAAAAGAAAAAUGAAAUGUGACCUCUGUGCGAAUUCAAUCUCAUAGCCUCAAACAGCAUGUCUGAAUCAUACCAAACUGUCUUAGAAAGAUGCUUUUAAUCUUAUGCUGUCCAACCGACUGUUGACUCACUCUCCGAGUCUCUGCUUUCAUUCAACCUGCCCUACAUUCGUUUUUUGUCGUCGUUGGAUUUUAUUUGUCGGAUUCUAAAUAUUAUGAAAUGCUGGUGAGUUAUCAAACCUUUUGUUCCCAAGGUACCAAAGUCCAUGGAACCAAUCAGACGUAAUUUGUAAUUCAAAUCAUCAGUAAUGAGAACUAGAGAGAGAGAGAGAGAGAGAUUUUAUUUUUGGUGGCGCAGAUUUUCAAGGCUGUGAAAAUCAUUAAGGGGGGUCUUUUAGAAUAUCCAGCCAUGGUUAAUGUUCCAGCGAUAAUCAACAAUUUUUUUGUUGAGUGUUUCCCUCCACAAAACUUGCUGGGAGCCGAGAUGAUUAUUAAUUCAUAACAAUUAACCCAAUAUUUAUGUCUGUCUGUCUGGCUCAAAAAUCCCAUACUUGAUCAUCUGUUGUUAAUGCUUUUUUUAAUCUCCCAAAAGAUUCAUAUAAUUUAAUGCGGAGUUACUGCUCUUUCGCUCCAAAGUACUUGUUUUUUAUGCACAGUUUAUGCUCUUGUGAUUCCAAAGGUACUUGUAUUAUGUCACACAGACAUAAUGCCCUUCUGGCACUAAGACAGUAGUGUUUUGUUUUUUAUAGAAAGAGUGUAUCGAACUUGUGACACUUUUUUGUCGUACAAGAAUGGUGUUUAUUGAAAUUUCAAAUAUCUAAGCUCCGAUUUGAUAUACAUGUAUAUACCUCAUGGAGAUGUAAAUAAUAUAAAUUUGGCAUUAUCAAAUAUUAGUAAAAAAAUCAGUCACAUUUAACAUGAAAUUAACAGUGCUGAUGUGAAGCACAAAGCUCAUGUCAAUAUUACAUUCCUCGAAUUAGACACAAAAUCGUCCACAGAUCUUUGUAAAGUGCUUUUUCAACUGCAAGGAAAAGGCACUAAUUGCGUCUUAGAUCAGAUCAGAUUAGAAUUGAUCUUCACAAGCAUUACCUUUGCUUUCAUAGCAGCCAAGUUCAUUUCAAUUCAUCAUAAAAAUCCGCAAUCUGUUGACUUCCAUUCUCUUUAGUAGGACGUAAAGCGAUAUGUUUGCCGGAGUAAACACGAUGCUUUGUACCCCUCAGCGUUAAAUCAUCUGACUGUCAUAUCGGGUUUCACACAGAUCUAGUCUGACAAACGUGAAGUGUCUAGACUGAGUAAUGCCAUAAUCAAUUCUCAUGGAUUCAAGUGUUUGGAAGCCAACGAUGUUUAGCGUGGCACCCCUUUUAUCUGCAAGUCAUUGGGAUGUAAAACCAUGGUACAAGGUAUCUAGACGUAUGCCAUAUUUUGCU
rnacentral:lncRNA from 1 species